AUUUGAGGUAAUCAUCAAAUAUGGCGGGAAACGAAGCAGUAGAAGAAAUUGUAAAUAGUAAUAAUAAUAACGAAGAAAAAGUUGUAGAAGAAAGUCAGGUUCAGGGAUCCGAUGUCCAGGAACAGUCCGGCGGGGACAGGAGUUGUUUAUUCAGAUGGUGGCCAAAGAUGCUGUUGAAAAAACCUUAAAUAAUAAAAGAAAAACACUACAGAGAAAAGAUUUAGAUAUUGUUUUAGAAACGAGGGACAGUUAUACAUUUUUAGAAGGUGCAUUAGACAC